UCGACUCGGUAUUGAUGGCGACGUCAGUGAAAACUGGCGUUGGAGGUAGUCUGACAACGGUCAGGACGGUGUAAACCGCGAACAGCUCAGAGAGCUGGGGUGCCUCGUAAGAACUCAACAAUCUCACCGCCCCGAUGCACAGAUAUCAGUCG
rnacentral:ncRNA from 1 species